rnacentral:lncRNA from 10 species
GGGGAAGGCGUGGCUUCCGCGCUCUUUGAAAUGUCCGGCGCCGGAAUGUCUGGGUGCUUUGGUUGGAGAGGGUCCCAUUUCCAGUCAUUCUUCAGCCUGGUGAUUCCCGCGCUCCCCUGAGGAGCAUAUGAAGUACGUCGGUUCUGCCAGGUUGGAACGCGCUGCUGGACACUCGGCCGUAAGGCGGAUCCCGGAUCCCCUCCCACUCCGACCCUUCCCUCCAGAAGGGCCGGUUCCCAAACGGCCCCUUUAGACACAUCCAAGCGGUUGCCGACGGCCCUCACGAUGAAAACUGCUGUCCGUUGGUGAAGGCAGCCUCUUCUGUGCUCCUCGCCGCUGACUUCCUGAGGCGGACCUACCUGUGGAGGCAUACCAGGAACCAGACGAUGACCCCCUCCAAAAGUUGGGUCUUUGAGGAGAGCUACUAACUUGGGUUCCUGGUACACCCUCUACAUGCAGUGGUGAAGCUUAUCUAACAGUCAUUCAUAGAAUCAGUUUGGGAAGGGGAAUUUUCACUGAACUCUCAUAGAGAAACUGUGUUUUAGAUAACAGAAAGUUCUGCACGGUUAAAAUGGAACAGAAAUUUUUUUGCACAGAAAUUAGGAUUACCGAAAAUACUGAAGAAAGACUACCUCUGAUUGGACUCUUCUCAAGGAAUUAAUAAUUCAAGAACUAAGGAAAGAAAAAAGUGAUUAUAUGAAAAUACUGAAGUUGAUCGUAGCAGCUGAAGGCUGAUCCUGUGUGGGUAAAUGUAAACGCUGAAUUCCCACAUUCCAAUGUGCGACCUGGGAUUAAGGCAGCAAUUGAGCAGGGCUGAAGUACAUUGGUGCAAUCUUGGCUCACUGCAUCUCCACCCCAGGUUCAAGCGAUUCUCCUGCCUCAGCCUCCCAAGCAGCUGGGAUUACAG